rnacentral:lncRNA from 1 species
GCCAGAGUAGCCCGUUCCCGUGGCAGGAUUGCUCUGUGAACAUGGAGAUGGCAGCAUCUCAGGCCUGAAGGGGCCUAAGAGAGAAAGCAUUUCCUGGUCUCUUUGAGAAGUUUACCGUUGUGGACCGAUUUAUGGCCUGAACUAAACACAGAAGUCGUGUCACUCAAGUAAUGGAAAGGAGCCGCUUCCAAAAGUGAGCACCUGGGAGAUUCCGGCAUAUCAUCCAGAGGCUUUUCAAGACUGAAUAUGCGAUGCUAUCAAUGGACAUAGCGGGUGCUGCC